rnacentral:rRNA from 1 species
GUCUACAGCCAUACUGUGCUGAGCACGCCCGAUCUCAUUUGAUCUCGGAAGCUAAGCAGGGUAGGGCCUGGUUAGUACUUGGAUGGGAGAGUCAAACUAGCCGGUCAGAACUCUCAGGCAGACC